rnacentral:rRNA from 1 species
UACGUAGGGUGCAAGCGUUGUCCGGAAUUAUUGGGCGUAAAGAGCUCGUAGGCGGUUCGUCGCGUCGGCUGUGAAAAUCCCGAGGCUCAACCUCGGGUCUGCAGUCGAUACGGGCGGACUGGAGUUCGGCAGGGGAGACUGGAAUUCCUGGUGUAGCGGUGAAAUGCGCGAUAUCAGGAGGAACCCCAGAGGCGAAGCGGCCCC